rnacentral:rRNA from 1 species
UACAGAGGGGGCAAGCGUUGUUCGGAAUUACUGGGCGUAAAGCGCACGUAGGCGGGUUGUUAAGUCAGGGGUGAAAUCCUGGAGCUCAACUCCAGAACUGCCUUUGAUACUGGCAACCUAGAGACUGGAAGAGGUUAGUGGAAUUCCCAGUGUAGAGGUGAAAUUCGUAGAUAUUGGGAAGAACACCAGUGGCGAAGGCGGCUAACUGGUCCAGCACUGACGCUGAGGUGCGAAAGCGUGGGGAGCAAACAGG